UCAACAUCAAUUAGUAAAUCUCGCCUGAUCCUCUGGCCAUCCUCAUUGCGUCUCUCCUUCUCUCUAUCUCUCUCCAUCGGAUUGCUAAUUCUGCCAGUGCAGACAUCAAACGUCAUCAUCCAGCGGCGAAGCAACCCAAACACAUCCGUAUCGAGCAGGAACUAGAACAGGAGCAAAGGACGACGAAUAAAAAAGGAAAAACGACUCGCAUGCAGGUGCCAUGACCACGUACAUACAUACAGUCAGUCAGUUAGUGUGAGUGAGAGCGUCGGUCCACCAUUUGUGCAUUUGUCUGCUGGGUCCUGGCCCAAAGGCUGGCUUUGGGUUCUACCACCGCCACACCAUCAACAUCACCACCAGCGGCAGCGGCAGCUCAGCUCAGCUACUACAGCUGCCUUUUUGUGUAAAAGUACUCCAAAUUGUUGGCUGGAAAACCACCUUAUGGAGGCAACCAGGGCGAUACCAACAGCAAAAAGUACUUACGAAUCGACACGGACAAGAAUCCUUUGUGCUGGCAUCCACAACUCCUGUUAGUUUACAGUUAAGGUUAAUACUUUACUGUUAAAUAUCUUUAAAAGCUUUUCAGGUUUGUGAAUUGGCAAAGAAAAGCUUCUGCACCGUUAACUUAUACCGAUUUAUACAUGCCACGCCUUCAAAUGGAAAAGAAGGAUAACUAACAUUGAGAAUGC